rnacentral:rRNA from 1 species
CGCGAAUCCAACCUGGCCACCACUUGGGGAUAACCUUGCGAAAGUAAGACUAAUACCCAAUGACGUCUCUAGAAGACAUCUGAAGGAGAUUAAAGAUUUAUCGGUGAUGGAUGGGGAUGCGUCUGAUUAGCUUGUUGGCGGGGCAACGGCCCACCAAGGCGACGAUCAGUAGGGGUUCUGAGAGGAAGGUCCCCCACAUUGGAACUGAGACACGGUCCAAACUCCUACGGGAGGCAGCAGUGAGGAAUAUUGGUCAAUGGGCGAGAGCCUGAACCAGCCAAGUAGCGUGCAGGAUGACGGCCCUAUGGGUUGUAAACUGCUUUUAUAAGGGAAUAAAGUGAGCCACGUGUGGCUUUUUGCAUGUACCUUAUGAAUAAGGACCGGCUAAUUCCGUGCCAGCAGCCGCGGUAAUACGGAAGGUCCGGGCGUUAUCCGGAUUUAUUGGGUUUAAAGGGAGCGUAGGCCGGAGAUUAAGCGUGUUGUGAAAUGUAGAUGCUCAACAUCUGAACUGCAGCGCGAACUGGUUUCCUUGAGUACGCACAAAGUGGGCGGAAUUCGUGGUGUAGCGGUGAAAUGCUUAGAUAUCACGAAGAACUCCGAUUGCGAAGGCAGCUCACUGGAGCGCAACUGACGGUGAAGCUCGAAAGUGCGGGUAUCGAACAGGAUUAGAU